rnacentral:lncRNA from 1 species
AUAAUUGUUGCAUCAUGCAUUUUAACACUUAGGAGCACAAUAUCUAGAUUUUAAUUUUUGUUUUUAAAUUUUCGUACCUUAAAUUGUGGUGAUCGCUGGAGGACCCCAAGGUACGUUAAUUUCUUUAUUUCUCUAGAUUAGGACACGUAGUUUAAAUCAUCCAUAUUUGUUUACCGCUUUUAUUAUCUCGUUGUGUGGUGCAUCAUUUUAAAUAAAUCUUAAGGGCAAAAACCACUCAUAAGAUAAGGGAAGGGAUUUCAUCACUCUUUCCUUGGCCCACAACAAUUUAAUUCUUCAUUUUGCAUU